UUGGUCGUAGACCCGAAACCAGGUGAUCUACCCUUGGUCAGGUUGAAGUUCAGGUAACACUGAAUGGAGGACCGAACCGACUUACGUUGAAAAGUGAGCGGAUGAACUGAGGGUAGCGGAGAAAUUCCAAUCGAACCUGGAGAUAGCUGGUUCUCUCCGAAAUAGCUUUAGGGCUAGCCUCAAGUGAUGAUUAUUGGAGGUAGAGCACUGUUUGGACGAGGGGCCCCUCUCGGGUUACCGAAUUCAGACAAACUCCGAAUGCCAAUUAAUUUAACUUGGGAGUCAGAACAUGGGUGAUAAGGUCCGUGUUCGAAAGGGAAACAGCCCAGACCACCAGCUAAGGUCCCAAAAUAUAUGUUAAGUGGAAAAGGAUGUGGCGUUGCCCAGACAACUAGGAUGUUGGCUUAGAAGCAGCCAUCAUUUAAAGAGUGCGUAAUAGCUCACUAGUCGAGUGACACUGCGCCGAAAAUGUACCGGGGCUAAACAUAUUACCGAAGCUGUGGAUUGUCCUUUGGACAAUGGUAGGAGAGCGUUCUAAGGGCGUUGAAGCAUGAUCGUAAGGACAUGUGGAGCGCUUAGAAGUGAGAAUGCCGGUGUGAGUAGCGAAAGACGGGUGAGAAUCCCGUCCACCGAUUGACUAAGGUUUCCAGAGGAAGGCUCGUCCGCUCUGGGUUAGUCGGGUCCUAAGCUGAGGCCGACAGGCGUAGGCGAUGGAUAACAGGUUGAUAUUCCUGUACCACCUAUAAUCGUUUUAAUCGAUGGGGGGACGCAGUAGGAUAGGCGAAGCGUGCGAUUGGA
rnacentral:rRNA from 1 species